CCCUUAGAUGUCCUGGGCUGCACGCGCGCUACACUGGAAGUUACGGAUUGAGAUACUACCUUGUCCGAAAUGGUCCGGGUAAUCACCUAAAAGCUUGUCAUAAUUGGAAUGGAUUAUUGUAACUAGUAAUCCUGAGCGAGGAAUUCCUAGUAAGUCCCAGUCAACAGCUGGUACUGAUUACGUCCCUGCCCUUUGUACACACCGCCCGUCGCUACUACUGAUUGGACGUUUAAGCAAGAUUUUUAAACACUGACAGUGUGUAGUUCACGCUAUACUACAGUGAGAAGAAGAAGAUCGAGCUUACUUGUCUAGAGGAAGUAAAAGUCGUAACA
rnacentral:rRNA from 1 species